rnacentral:misc_RNA from 1 species
GAUGAAGAACGUAGCGAAAUGCGAUAAGUAGUGUGAAUUGCAGAAUUCAGUGAAUCAUCGAAUCUUUGAACGCACAUUGCGCCCCUUGGUAUUCCAUGGGGCAUGCCUGUUCGAGCGUCAUUUGUACCUUCAAGCUUUGCUUGGUGUUGGGUGUUUGUCCAUUCUCUUGCAGAGGGACUCGCCUUAAAGUAAUUGGCAGCCAGUGUUUUGGUUUUGAAGCGCAGCACAAGUCGCGAUUCAACGCUAUACGCCAGCUUCCACAAGCCUUUUUCACUUUUGACCUCGGAUCAGGUAGGGAUACCCGCUGAACUUAAGCAUAUCAAAAGCGGAGGA